GUUUUUCUGGCAUUUUUUGUGACAAAUUUCCAAUGUGGUAAAACAUAAAUUGUUUUCCUCAAAAAAAGUGGCACUCUCCUUAAAAAAUGUGUGCCUUUUAGGUUUUUGUCUCCUUAGUGUAUGUGUACUUGUACUCUGUUUUAGUUUAUCUCUUCCCGACUUGUACUCUGUUUUAGCAAAAUCUUUAGAAUAGCAGACGUACGAAGUGUAAAUAAAAAA
rnacentral:lncRNA from 1 species